UCAAAUAUAUUAAGUACCUUGCAACAUUGUAACUAUCAGCAAGCAUUAACCCAUCAACUAUUGAGGGAAGAGGAUUAUUCAUUUUAUAAAUAACACAACAGUCAAAACAUAAAUUUACUUCCUUGUGAUGAUUUACUUGCACAGACAUACGAGUAAGCUUCCUCUAUGGAUGCUGAUUUUAGUUUCUUUUGUCGUUUGAAUUUUCUUUAGCCAUUUUAAAGACAAUGUUCUGGCAGUUAAAUAACCUUUUUUGAAUACAUGAUGUUGGAUGCCUAUUACUUGAUGGAAUCAAACAAUUUCAAGCUCUCCUGCAUUCGAUUCUGGAGGACAAAAAUAGAGAAAGUCAGAACAUAAGAACACAGUCGGUUUUAGUCAGAUCUCUGCCCACCCACAUCAAAUAAUCUGUGGAUAGAAGUCAUUGUUGACAAUUGAAUCAGCUGUUGAAGUCAUUACAAAGUACAAUAAAGAUGUGAUGCAAUA